UUGACCUCGGAUCAGGUAGGGAUACCCGCUGAACUUAAGCAUAUCAAUAAGCGGAGGAAAAGAAACCAACAGGGAUUGCCUCAGUAACGGCGAGUGAAGCGGCAACAGCUCAAAUUUGAAAUCUGGCCUCUUCGGGGUCCGAGUUGUAAUUUGUAGAGGGUGUUUCGGGCGAGGCGCCGGCCUAAGUUCCUUGGAACAGGACGUCAUAGAGGGUGAGAAUCCCGUAUGCGGCCGGUGACCGAGUCCAUGUGAAACCCCUUCGACGAGUCGAGUUGUUUGGGAAUGCAGCUCUAAAUGGGUGGUAAAUUUCAUCUAAAGCUAAAUACUGGCCAGAGACCGAUAGCGCACAAGUAGAGUGAUCGAAAGAUGAAAAGCACUUUGGAAAGAGAGUUAAAAAGUACGUGAAAUUGUUGAAAGGGAAGCGCUUGCAACCAGACCUGUGUUCGGGUGAUCAGCUGUCGUUCUCGACGGUGCACUCGCCCGUGACAGGCCAGCAUCGGUUCGGGCGGCUGGAUAAAGGCCCUGGGAACGUAGCUCGCUUCGGGGAGUGUUAUAGCCCGGGGUGCAAUGCGGCCAGCCUGGACCGAGGACCGCGCUUCGGCUAGGAUGCUGGCGUAAUGGUUGUAAGCGGCCCGUCUUGAAACACGGACCAAGGAGUCUAACAUCUAUGCGAGUGUUUGGGUGUCAAACCCAUGCGCGUAAUGAAAGUGAACGGAGGUGAGAACCCUUAAGGGCGCAUCAUCGACCGAUCCAGAUGUCUUCGGAUGGAUUUGAGUAAGAGCAUAGCUGUUGGGACCCGAAAGAUGGUGA
rnacentral:rRNA from 1 species